GACGGAUCAGAAGGUUGGAGAGUUUGUGUUGUUGAGGAAGAGGAGGAAGUUGUGGAAACUUGAGCAACACGAAGGAGAGGAAUAAUAUCUUGAUAUGAGUUUGAUACGAUCGCUGGCUGGAUGGAGAGGACAGCAUGCAGACUUCUGAUGGAGCCGAGUCCCCAGACCAUUCCCACCAGAGAGCCCUGACCCAGUGUGACCUUGUGACCCCUUCGGACUGACCUCUCAGUGGGUGGCCUUCACACUGACCAACGUGCACCAUCGAUCAUAACAAGUGGCUCUUCUCAAUUGGGUGAGAUCUUUGCAACUUUUUCUAAUAGUCUUCUCCACUUUUACAUUUAGUCUUCUCUACUUUUACAGUACAUUUUCAAGCUUUAUUAUUUGCAAAUUUUUUCACCUGUUUCUGUCAAAUGUUUCCCCAUUACUUUUUAAUCAUUAGAUGCUGCUUCUCAAUCAAAUAAAGGGGACAGUCUGGCAUCUCCUAUGCAGUUUGAUUUAGUUGUAAAAUAUUUGCAUGUCCCUGAUUUGUCUUUACAUGUGUUUGAAAGGUUAUGCAUAUAAAUGUACAGGCAUGUUUAUUACAUGUGUGACAACUAAACUGUGGUCUGAGUGGAUGCCAGAUCAGGAUUAAUAUACUACCCCCAGUGUCAGUGAAGAAGGAAGUCUGUCUGACCGAGCGGCCAUGUUAAUCAUAAAUCUUUAUCUUACAAUCCUGCCUCGCACAUCCGCCCUUUCAUUAAAAGACGGGCGAAGGAUUAGUGCAGUUAAACCCCGGAGAUCUGUGGAGAGGAAGAAUGAAGCGAGUAAACAGGAUCCCUCAGUGUUGAUGGUUGAUAAAAAUCUCUCUCUCUCUCUCUCUCUCUCCAUCUCUCUAUC